CGCGCUCCCUCCACCGCCUCCCCCGGCGGCUACGGUGGCCCGCAAGGGGCCAAGGGGAGGCCGGGCGCCCGCGCGCACAGCCCCCAGCGUUGGGUCCGUUCCCAGCGCUGAGGCGGCACCCGGGGCCUUUGCGGAGGCCUGGCCUUGGCCGCGCGGCCGCGUGAGGCCCGGCCCGAGGGCGUCCCGUAGUGUCGGGCCGUGGCGGGGCUGGAGGAGCCGGCCCGGUCCGGGCUCUGUGUGGAGGCGGAAUCCGUUGGGGAUGGUGGCGGGUCACUGACCAGCGCGGAGCCGCCCCACGGAGGCUGCUAAGGGAAGCUGGAGCCCGCCGCGCGUUGAGACAUAACGUCCCGCUCUACCCCAUGGGCCGGCUUCGGGGGAUACCGCUCCGGCAUCUGCCGCCUUGUAAACUUGGAGGAAAGGAGUGAGGAAGAAGAUGACAUCAACAGAGGGAGAAGAGAACAUCAUCGUAUCCUUCCUGGCCCGUGGCUCCAGAUGUGAUGACUUGCUCUAGCAGCUCCUCACACACACCCCAUCGUGACACCACUGCCCUUCAGGCCCAGGGGAGCAGUAGAAGCCUAUGCCAUCUUCCAGCUAUACAAUGCCAGUAUCCGUGGGGAAUGAAGUAAGGUGCGAAGUAUGAAGCACAGACCUCAUUCUGCUCGCGCGUCGCAGAGCGGCCAUGAGAGCACUUUUGGAAAAAUCACAUUAGAGAUUCCUAUGUCGACCCCCAGGCCUUGGGGAGGAGAACACAAGACUGCCAGGAAGCAAGGAGCUUUGCCUAGGAUGUUGUUAAUUUUUGGGGUCCGAUGAAAUGUUCUUUUCAAUUCUGGAUGUCUGCCCAGGAGGUAAGCCAGCCCUGAAGGUGCACUGCCGCUUUACAGAGCUUCGCCUUCCACACAGCUGUCCUGAGAACGGCCCGGACAGACUAUAGAGCCAGAUCCAUCCCCUUGUGAUGAUUUCUUAUGUCACAUAUUCUGGUUUUCCACUGUGUGACACUGAGAUUGUUGGUGUAAUUUGCUUCAGCACGUACUUUUUUU